rnacentral:lncRNA from 1 species
AAGUUUAUUACCAGCAUGGGAAUACAUGUUCGUACAUAUGUCCGUAUAUAUAUGUAUACAUUUUUUUGUAUAUUUAAAAUAUUAUUAGAAAAGCAUAAUAAUGUAGUUCGAAUAUACGAAACGGAAGAUUAUUCAUGUAUCACUAUAUUGGAACAAAAAAAAAGAAUAACAAAUUUACAGUGGGAUGAUAUAUUAAACAAACCAAGGUUAAAGAAGAUAAACCUUUUUUUUUUUUUUUUUUUAUCAUAUAAUAUAUUAUGUAAUAAAAUAAUAUAAUGAUAAUAGUUUGAUUUGUGAAUAUAAUAUAAUAGCAUGCUUGUUAAAAAUUUUGGUGAAAAUAUACAAAAUAUAUAGUAGCAUUAAUAGUAGUAGUAGUAGUAGUAGUUACAAUGCUGGCGGUAGUAACAAUAAUUAAAGUUGCUUGAUUAUUUAUACAGGCUUUCAAUAUGCACAAAUACGGCAUAUGUAUUUGUAUGGUUACCAGACGGAUGUGCCAUAAUCGACAUGCCAAAUGGUACAUUUAAAAAUAAAAUAAUCAACAAAAAAUUAAUUAAAUAAAAACGGAACAUAUUGCAAACUAUAAAUAUUUUAUUUAGUCAUAUAUAUACACAUAUAUAUAUACACNNNNNNNNNNAUAUAUAUCAUGUGUAGAUUUUGCGGAUGAAAAGUUUAUUACCAGCAUGGGAAUACAUGUUCGUACAUAUGUCCGUAUAUAUAUGUAUACAUUUUUUUGUAUAUUUAAAAUAUUAUUAGAAAAGCAUAAUAAUGUAGUUCGAAUAUACGAAACGGAAGAUUAUUCAUGUAUCACUAUAUUGGAACAAAAAAAAAGAAUAACAAAUUUACAGUGGGAUGAUAUAUUAAACAAACCAAGGCUUUCAAUAUGCACAAAUACGGCAUAUGUAUUUGUAUGGUUACCAGACGGAUGUGCCAUAAUCGACAUGCCAAAUGGUACAUUUAAAAAUAAAAUAAUCAACAAAAAAUUAAUUAAAUAAAAACGGAACAUAUUGCAAACUAUAAAUAUUUUAUUUAGUCAUAUAU